rnacentral:rRNA from 1 species
CGGAUACCUAAACAUCAAAAAUUACGUGGGCGUUUAACGACGAAAUGUUGUAGUGAGUGAAAAAAUUGCUUGCUUUGACCUACAAUCCCCCAUGAUUGGAAAACUAAACCUUUUGGAGAUAGGUUUGUUUUGCUUGCAAAAGUAAAGCAGUAAACCCAGUGAACUGAAUCAUCUUAGUAACUGGGGGAGUAAAUCAAUAGAGAUCCCGUUAGUAGUGGCGAGCGAACGCGGUAUAAGGCUGAAAAUUAAGCUUUUUGUCUAAACAUUUUAGUUGGCCGUAGAAGGUAGAGCCCUGUUAAGACAAUUUUGCUUAAAAAUUUUGUGUGCAGUAAAAUUACACAAGUAGUGUGUUGUUUGAACAAUGAGGGACCACCCUCAAGCCUAAAAAUUUUGGUGCUUGAUAGUGCACUAGUACUGUGAAGGAAAGGUGAAAAAGAAAUUCUAAAAUGAAAUAUUUGAAAAAGAUAUUGAAAUUUAAUGCUAACAAGCAGGUGUAGCUUUGAUCAAAAGUGACACCGUACCUCUUGUAUAAUGGAUCAACAAGUUUAUUUUAAAAGCGAGCUUAAGUAUUUUUAUGUAGGCGAAAUUAAAUUGAGCUUUAAAAAGCACUUUAGUUUUUAAAUUAAGACCCGAAACUGAAUGAUCUAACCAUGAACAAGUUGAAUUUUAAGCGGCAACGCUGAUUGGAAGACUGAACUCGUGUAUGUGGAAAAAUACUGAGAUGAUUUGUGGUUAGGAGUGAAAGGCUAAUCAAAUUCAGAAAUAGCUGGUUUUCUGCGAAAUCUAUUUAAGUAGAGCGUUUAAAAUCUUCGAUUUAAGGUAGAGCACUCGAUAUGCAAUGGGGGCAACAGUUUUACUGAGUGUAUUGAAACUCCGAAUAUAAGUUAAAAGAAUUUAAGCAGACAGACUACGGGUGCUAAGAUCCGUAGUCAAGAGGGAAACAGCCCUGACUAACAGCUAAGGUUUUAAAAAAUAGUUAAGUAAUAAAAGCGUGAAGAAAUAAUGACAGCCGGUAGGUCAGCUUAGAAGCAGCUAUCCUCUAAAGAAUGCGUAAUAGCUCACAGGUCGAGUUUUUUUGUGCCAAAAAUGUAAAGAGAUUAAAAUUAUUUACCGAAGUUGUAGAUUUAAAUAAUAUUAUUAUUUAAAUGGUAGCAGAACGUUCUAUACAUCUAAAAAGGUUUAUAGUAAUAUAAACCGAAGAAAUUAGAAUUGAGAAUGUUGAUAUGAGUAACGAUAAACAGUGUGUAAAACAUUGUCGCCUUACAGUCCCAGGUUUCCAAAAUAAGGCUAAUCCGUUUUGGUAAGUUAAUCGGUCUCUAAAAAAAUAACGAAAGUUUAUUUUGAUGGGUAAAAAUUAAUAUUCUUUUAUUUUUUAAAGUGACAAAAUAUAAAUAUUAUUUUUAUUUUAUGGUAAAUAAAAGUUUUAUAAUGUUUUCAAGAAAGAGCUUAAAAAUUUAAACCGUACUCAAACCGACACAGGUGGACAAAUUUAGCAGAUUAAGGCGCUUGAGCGAAUUAUUGUUGAAGGAACUCGGCAAAAUGACUCUGUAACUUUGGAAGAAGGAGUAGCUUUAUUAAGGAAACUUUUUAGAGCUGUCACAAAAUCGGGGACAGCAACUGUUUAACAAAAACACAGGUCUCUGCAAAUUUGUAAAAAGACGUAUUGAGGCUGACGCCUGCCCAGUGCUGCAAGAUUAAAAGGAAAAGUCAUUUGGCUUUAACUAAAAUUCCCAGUAAACGGCGGCUGUAACUCUGACGGUCCUAAGGUAGCGAAAUUCCUUGGCAUUUAAUUGGUGUCCUGCAUGAAUGGCGUAAUGACUGUCCCACUGUCUCCAGCAUAACCUCAGUGAAAUUGAAUUUUCCGUGAAGAUGCGGAAUAUUUGCGGCUAGACGGAAAGACCCUGUGCACUUUUACUAUACUUAUAUAUUGUACUAAGAACUCUUAUGUGUAGAAUAAGUGGUAGUUGUUUUUAACUAGAUUAAAGUUGAAAGGAAUUUUUGCGCAAGCAAAUGGUUUAAACGUUUUUGAAAUACCACUCUUAAAAGUUUUUAGCACUAACUUUUUAAAACAGUGUAUAAUUGGUAGUUUGACUGGGGCGGCCGCCUCCCAAAAAGUACCGGAGGCGCACAAUGGUAGGUUUGGAUUGAUAAAAUAACAAUUUGUAAGCGUAAUAGCACAUACUUGCCUGACUGUGAGAUUGACGAAUCAAGCAGGGACGAAAGUCGGUUAUAGUGAUCCGAUGACUUUGAGUGGAAAGGGUCAUCGCUCAACGAAUAAAAAGUACGCCAGGGAUAACAGGCUAAUCAUUCCUUAGAGACCUUAUCGACGGGAUGGUUUGGCACCUCGAUGUUGGAUCGACACAUCCUGGAACUGCAUAUGGUUCCAAGGGUGCAUCUGUUCGAUGCUGAAAGUGUCACGUGAUCUGAGUUCAGAACGUUGUGAAACAGUUUGGUCCCUAUCUACCGUAAGUGUUGAAAAUUGAAAGGACUAAACUCUAGUACGAGAGGACCGAGAAAAGUGAAUCCCUGGUGGGUCGAUUGUUGGACCAAAAGCAUCGUCGAGUAGCUAAAUUCGUAAUAAAUAAUCGCUGAAAGCAUCUAAGCGAGAAGUUAACCUUAAAAUAAGUUUUCAAUUAACCGUAAAAGACUAUUACGUAAAUAGGCUCAGAGUAAAAGAGUUGCAAAACUUUUAUCAGCUAAUGAGUACUAAAAAUU